GGGAAUCGUGCACUUUGACUGUGCUUCAUGAAACAUGUUUGCUGUAACAUCUCCGUGGCUCUGCUGGACUUUACUGUCUGUCUCCCUCGUGGGCUUUACCUGUGCAGUUGAGGAAGAUGACAGAGAAGAGGACAAUACUGCACAUACACAGGAUCAUUUGUAGUGAAUAUGACUCAGACCUCCUAUCAGGCAGAGGAGAACCACAACAUCACACUGGAGUGGACGUUCACAGUAGAAACAGGCAGAUCCCCCACAUAUCUAAUAAUUUACUGUGACCUGAUAACUGGUGAUAAAUCUUCACUCCUGUAUCAUGUCCACAAUGGUGCUGAAGUCUCAGAGUCUCAGGAUAAAAAGUUUUCAGGGCGAGUUCAGGGUGACAAAGACGCCCUCAGAGAAGGACGAAUCAGACUCCAGCUGUGCAAACUCAGGACUGAGGACUC
ensembl:lncRNA